AAUCAACGCUGGCGGCGUGCCUAACACAUGCAAGUCGAACGCGGUUACCCCGCAAGGGGUAACUGAGUGGCGAACGGGUGAGUAACACGUGGGUGACCUACCUUCGAAUGGGGGAUAACGUCCCGAAAGGGACGCUAAUACCGCAUAACAUCCUGCCUUUGAACAGGCGGAGAUCAAAGCCGGGGAUCGUAAGACCUGGCGUUUGGAGAGGGGCCCGCGUCCGAUUAGCUAGUUGGUGAGGUAACGGCNCACCAAGGCCACGAUCGGUAGCCGGCCUGAGAGGGCGGACGGCCACACUGGGACUGAGACACGGCCCAGACUCCUACGGGAGGCAGCAGUGGGGAAUUGUUCGCAAUGGGCGCAAGCCUGACGACGCAACGCCGCGUGGAGGAUGAAGGUCUUCGGAUUGUAAACUCCUGUUGCCCGGGACGAAUAGCUCCGACCCAACACGUCGGAGUCUGACGGUACCGGGUGAGGAAGCCCCGGCUAACUCUGUGCCAGCAGCCGC
rnacentral:rRNA from 1 species